UGUUCUAAAAUAUCCCUACAGCCUUAGUUUAACUAGGGGCAAAAUUUUGUAAAAAUACUUCUUUAACUUCUACGUAAAACACUAUCUACAAAAUAGGACCGCACUCCCGAUAUACUCAUGCUGAGUUUCAAACUCAAAUUACUUCUUCUUUAGUUCUCAAAUUCUCUCAAUUCAGGGUUAAUAUUCUUUUCUCCAUUAUCAUCAUUUUUUCUAUUUGCUAUGCUCAAAUUUGCUCUUGCUCAAUGGUAUGUGUAUGUCAAUGUACAUAGGUUUUUCUAUUUUGGUUUUCUAAUUCAUGAACGACUUCUUAUAUUCUAGAAACUAAUCAAAUAUUUGUUUAAAAUAGCCCUUCUAUUUCAACCUCACCUUUAAUUUCUUUCAUAUAUUUCUUCAAGGAAUGUGUUAUUGGGUAAUUUCUUUCACAUAUUUCUUCAAGGAACGCGUGAUCAUUUAAAUCAAGAAGAAGGAAAAAAAUGCCACAGGCACGUAGCCAUGCAAAGGCUUACUGUGGUGGAAACACGUGCCCAUUGCUCCAUCCUCUAAAACACCCCUUUCCCUUCCACAAAAAAGCCUCCGUCUGCUUCAAAUAUCAAAUAGCUUUUGACCACCACGUUCACA